CAGCCGCCGCGGUAAUACGUAGGGUGCGAGCGUUAAUCGGAUUUACUGGGCGUAAAGCGUGCGCAGGCGGCCCGUUAAGACAGGUGUGAAAUCCCUGGGCUCAACCUAGGAAUUGCGCUUGUGACUGGCGGGCUCGAGUACGGUAGAGGGGGGUGGAAUUCCUGGUGUAGCAGUGAAAUGCGUAGAGAUCAGGAGGAACACCGAUGGCGAAGGCAGCCCCCUGGGCCUGUACUGACGCUCAUGCACGAAAGCGUGGGGAGCAAACAGGAUUAGAGACCCGGGUAGUCCACGCCCUAAACGAUGGGUACUAGCCGUUUGGUGCGCGAUAGCGCUGAGUGGCGAAGCUAACGCGUGAAGUACCCCGCCUGGGGAGUACGGCCGCAAGGUUGAAACUUAAAGGAAUUGGCGGG
rnacentral:rRNA from 1 species